UGGGGAAUAUUGGACAAUGGGCGCAAGCCUGAUCCAGCCAUACCGCGUGAGUGAAGAAGGCCUUCGGGUUGUAAAGCUCUUUCAGACGGAAAGAAACGGUUACGGCUAAUACCCGUGACUAAUGACGGUACCGUAAGAAGAAGCACCGGCUAACUACGUGCCAGCAGCCGCGGUAAUACGUAGGGUGCGAGCGUUAAUCGGAAUUACUGGGCGUAAAGCGUGCGCAGGCGGUUUGGUAAGACAGAUGUGAAAUCCCCGGGCUUAACCUGGGAACUGCAUUUGUGACUGCCAGACUAGAGUGUAGCAGAGGGGGGUAGAAUUCCACGUGUAGCAGUGAAAUGCGUAGAUAUGCGGAGGAACACCGAUGGCGAAGGCAAUCCCCUGGACCUGUACUGACGCUCAUGCACGAAAGCGUGGGGAGCAAACAGGAUUAGAUACCCAGGUAGUCCCUGAGCGGGCUGGCAAGGCGCAU
rnacentral:rRNA from 1 species